AGAGGUUAACCGUGUUAUGUUC
rnacentral:miRNA from 1 species